GUAGGUGGCAAGCGUUGUCCGGAAUUAUUGGGCGUAAAGCGCGCGCAGGCGGUUCUUUAAGUCUGAUGUGAAAGCCCACGGCUCAACCGUGGAGGGUCAUUGGAAACUGGAGAACUUGAGUACAGAAGAGGAAAGCGGAAUUCCACGUGUAGCGGUGAGAUGCGUAGAGAUGUGGAGGAACACCAGUGGCGAAGGCGGCUUUCUGGUCUGUAACUGACGCUGAGGCGCGAAAGCGUGGGGGGAGCAAACAGGAUUAGAUACCCUGGUAGUCCACGCCGUAAACGAUGAGUGCUAAGUGUUAGGGGGUUUCCGCCCCCCCCUUAGUGCUGCAGCUAACGCAUUAAGCACUCCCGCCUGGGGAGUACGGCCGCAAGGCUG
rnacentral:rRNA from 1 species